rnacentral:pre_miRNA from 1 species
UGGGGCAUGAACCUGGCAUACAAUGUAGAUUUCUGUGUUCAUUAGGCAACAGCUACAUUGUCUGCUGGGUUUCAGGCUACCUGG